UACGUAGGGGGCUAGCGUUGUCCGGAUUUAUUGGGCGUAAAGAGCGUGUAGGCGGCCAGGUAGGUCCGUUGUGAAAACUCGAGGCUCAACCCUCGAGACGUCGGCGGAAACCCUCUGGCUAGAGUCCGGAAGAGGAGAGUGGAAUUCCUGGUGUAGCGGUGAAAUGCGCAGAUAUCAGGAAGAACACCCGUGGCGAAGGCGGCUCUCUGGGGACGGUACUGACGCUGAGACGCGAAAGCGUGGGGAGCAAACAGG
rnacentral:rRNA from 1 species